GAAGUCGACCGCCUGGGGAGUACGGCCGCAAGGUUAAAACUCAAAGGAAUUGACGGGGACCCGCACAACGGUGGAUUAUGUGGAUUAAUUCGAUGCAACGCGAAAAACCUUACCUACCCUUGACAUGUCCGAGAGCCGAGAGAGAUCACGGUGUGCCCGAAAGGGAAUCGGAACACAGGUGCUGCAUGGCUGUCGUCAGCUCGUGUCGUGAGAUGUUGGGUUAAGUCCCGCAACGAGCGCAACCCUUGUCAUUAGUUGCUACAUUCAGUUGGGCACUCUAAUGAGACUGCCGGUGACAAACCGGAGGAAGGUGGGGAUGACGUCAAGUCCUCAUGGCCCUUAUGGGUAGGGCUUCACACGUAAUACAAUGGCGCGUACAGAGGGUUGCCAAGGAGCGAUCUGGAGCCAAUCCCGUAAAGCGCGUCGUAGUCCGGAUUGCAGUCUGCAACUCGACUGCAUGAAGUCGGAAUCGCUAGUAAUCGCGGAUCAGCAUGUCGCGGUGAAUACGUUCCCGGGUCUUGUACACACCGCCCGUCACACCAUGGGAGUGGGUUUCACCAGAAGCCGGUCGCCUAACCGCAAGGAGGGCGCCGACCACGGUGAGAUUCAUGACUGGGGUGAAGUCGUAACAAGGUAAC
rnacentral:rRNA from 1 species